ensembl:lncRNA novel transcript
AUGAAGCAGAGCCACAGAUACGCCACAGAUAAGCUUAUGUAAUGAAGUGUAAACAAAAUGAGUCAAGGAGAAGGGACAGAAGACCCAAGUGGAGAAAUUGACAAACUCAAUCCUGGCCUCUCUUCUACUAAAGAUUACAGAUCUUAAGGCAUAGAGUGCAAGAAAGCUUAGAAGUAGAUGAAAAACUAAAGCCUUGGUAUUUGGUUGUAUUGGAGUUUUUACCACAAGAAAAAAAUAGUUUGAUGGUGCUGGUUUAAAGGAUGGUGAUGAAAAAGAAUCAAGCUUAAAUCCUAUUUAAUCAAACUCAAUACGGUUAUGCUAUUAUUGCUUAAAAGUAUUUUUAUAUGUGCCUAAUUCUGUUUAAUGAUGACUUCCUAACUGGUCUUUGCAAGUUCAAAGAUCAAUGAACCUUGAUUUUAUAGACCUUAUUUUAAUAUUAAAUACAUCCCUCUUUAAUGAAUAUCUUGUAUAAUUAUAGGGCUGUAUUUUUCUUAAUUUUGCCUGGUGUUUAAUAAUCUUAUGUGAGGCAUUAGAAAGUAUCUUUUAAAUUAUUUUAUCAUAAAUUUUGUUUUAUUUGUUACCUUUGGAGAGUUAACUCCUAAUCAGGUUAUUUAAAAUCCUAGGGCAGGUCGAAUGUUAGACUUUCCCCCUGUUAAAAUAGAAACUUUAGACAAAUUAAAUUUAACUGUGUUUAAAUAGGCAAAGAAUGAUUAGCAAGUUAGGCAGCCCCUAGAACCAGAAUAGAUAGGGUCAGAGCAAUUCCGGGGCAGCCAUGUGAUUGGAUAACAUUUAUUCAGAGAAAAAGGAAUGUGACAUACAAAAAAAUGGAAAUGAAGUACAGUAACAGCUGGAUUGGCUUACAGUUUGGUGUUUGCCUUAUUUGAAUAUGAUUUGAACAGUUGUAUGCUUGUGAUUGUCCCAAACUUGGCCACUGUAAUUACACAUCCAGUUAGGUUAUAGUUCACUAUGUAUGGAGAAACCUUUAGACUCAACUUAAAAUAUGUAAGGAGGCAACGGUAGGCUAAACUUAACACUUUAAGCAGAUUUAUUUUACAGUAUCAAUUGCCACAAUAGUGCCCUAUGCUUUAAAAGGACUAUUUUUGAAGAUUAAGAAAAUGUCUCUGAAAAAAAAAACUUAAUUUUAGAGAUACAAGUGUUCAAUUAUAAAAGCUUCUGGUUGAAUGUGUGAUAUGAUUUUGCUGCUGCUCACUCUUUGAGUCCUCGCAGCCUUUAUGAGUUGUAACACUCACCGCCAAAGUCUGCAGCUUCACUCCUGAAGCCAGCGAGACCACAAACCCACCAGGAGGGACGAACAACUCCACACGCGCCACCUUUAUGAACUGUAACACUCACCGCAAAGGUCUGCAACUUCACUCCUGAAGCCAGCGAGACCAUGAACCCAAUGGGAGGAACAAACAACUCCAGACGCGCUGCCUUUAAGAGCUGUAACACUCACUGCGAAGGUCUGCGGCUUCACUCCUGAAGUCAGAGAAACCACGAACCCAGCAGAAGGAAGAAAAUCCAGGCACACCAUCUUUAAGAACUGUAGCACUCACCACCAGGGUCUGUGGAUUCAUUCUUGAAGUCAGCGAGACCAAGAACCCACCAAUUCCGGACACAGUUUGUCUGUGUCCCCACCCAAAAUCUCAUCUUGAAUUGUAAUAAUACCUGUGUAUCAAGGACGGGACCAGGUGGAGAUAAUUGAAUCAUGAGGGCGGUUUCCCUCAAACUGUUCUCCUGAUAGUAAGUGAGCUCUCACAAGAUCUGACGGCUUUAUAUGGGGCUUUCCCCUUCACCCAGCUCUCAUUUUCUCUCCUGCCACCCUGUGAAGAGGUGCCUUCUGUCAUGAUUGUAAGUUUCUUGAGGCCUCCCCAGACAUGCUGAACUGUGAGUCAAUUAAAGCUUUUUCCUUUAUAAAUUACCCAGUAUCUCGUACAUCUUUAUAAGCAAUGUGAGAACAGACAAAUACAAUGUGGAUGAAAUAUGUUAUCCAGCCAGUUCCACCCUGGUAUUUCUGCAAUGGCACUUCUAGGCCCCAGGGAAACCAGUCAUAGAUGAUAUAAAAAUUCAGAAAGUUAAUAUUUUUGUUCAAGAGAAACUAAUAGCUUUGCAAGCCAUUCUUUAACAUAGAAUCAGGGAUGCUUCACAUUUAAACUGUUUUUGUUUGUUAAGAAAACUAGAAAUGUUCUUAAUAUGGUUAAUGAUAACCUCUUAUAUUUGUCAAGUAUUUUGUAAAGCAAAGAACAAUUUUACAUCCAUUACUGGGAUUUGUUUCAUAACAUCCAGAUAGAGAAUGGUUGUUUUGUAAUUUACCUGAGGACUAACAGGAGCACAGGUCUUCUGUUUUUUGGUACACUUUACUAUUUUGAUGGAAAGGUAAGUGGUUAUCCCAAGUCCUGCAUCUGGGAAAACACCACAAAUUCUGUUCUCUCAACUGUGAAAUGUGAGUGCAUCUAAAAAGAUUAAAGUACACUUUAUUUUGCUUUAGAAAUUCUGCCAUCUAAUAUCAGGCUGAAGGAUAAAACUCAAUUCAAAUAUUUCAAUUACCUUAGGCCCUUGGCUGACAUAACAGUUGAAAUGUAUUUGCUUUCCAGAAUACCUUCACUACAAAGUCAUCUGUUUGGGUCUGGAAUUCCUUCCAUAAAGUUACAAUUUAGAUGAAGUUUUCUUUGAUUUAUUCAAUCUUGUUCUAUGUAUUUUUUACUCUAACUAGUUAAUGCUUUUUGAAUAUUGCUAUUUAAUUCAUUGGCUGUUUCUACAUAAAACUUACUCUCAAGCAGAAUUUUACAAAUGUAUUAAAAUAUGUAAAAGUAUAAUGAGACUUAGUAUGUUAGCUCUC